rnacentral:rRNA from 1 species
CGUAGGGGGCAAGCGUUGUCCGGAUUUAUUGGGCGUAAAGAGCGUGUAGGCGGCUAGGUAGGUCCGUUGUGAAAACUCGAGGCUCAACCUCGAGACGCCGGUGGAAACCAUCUAGCUAGAGUCCGGAAGAGGAGAGUGGAAUUCCUGGUGUAGCGGUGAAAUGCGCAGAUAUCAGGAAGAACACCCGUGGCGAAGGCGGCUCUCUGGUACGUGACUGACGCUGAGACGCGAAAGCGUGGGGAGCGAACAGGAUUAGAUACCCUGGUAGUCUACGCUGUAAACGAUGGGUGCUAGGUGUGGGCGGUGUCGACUCCGUCCGUGCCGAAGCUAACGCAUUAAGCACCCCGCCUGGGGAGUACGGCCGCAAGGCUA